rnacentral:rRNA from 1 species
GGCUAUAUUAGGUCAGUCUGCCACUGAUAUUAUAUUUUAAGGGCCGCAGUAUUUUGACUGUGCAAAGGUAGCAUAAUCAUUAGUUUUUUAAUUAAAAGCUUGUAUGAAUGGCUGAAUGAAGUAAAAUCUGUCUCUAUUUAAAUUAAUUUAGAAUUUAAUUUUUAAGUUAAAAAGCUUAAAUUUUAUUAAAAGACGAGAAGACCCUAUAGAUCUUUAUAUUUUUUGUUAAUAAUAUAAUUAAGAAUUAUUAUAAUUUUUUAAUAAUAAAUAUUUUAUUGGGGUAAUAUAAAGAUUGAUAAAAUUCUUUUUUUUUAUAAACAUAAAUUAAUGAAUUUAUGAUCCAAUAUUAUUGAUUAUAAGAUUAAGUUACCUUAGGGAUAACAGCGUAAUUUUUUUAGAGAGUUCUUAUCGAUAAAAAAGUUUGCGACCUCGAUGUUGGAUUAAAGAUUAUUUCAGGUGUAGAAGUUUGAAAAUAUUGGUCUGUUCGACCAUUAAAUCUUUACGUGAUCUGAGUUCAGACCGGA